rnacentral:rRNA from 1 species
CCUACGGGUGGCAGCAGUGAGGAAUAUUGGUCAAUGGACGCAAGUCUGAACCAGCCAUGCCGCGUGCAGGAAGACGGCUCUAUGAGGUGUAAACUGCUUGUGUACGAGGGUAAACGGAGAUAAGCGUAUCUGUCUGAAAGUAGCGUACGAAUAAGGAUCGGCUAACUCCGUGACAGCAGCAGCGGUAAUACGGAGGAAUCAUGGGUUAUCCGGAUUUAUUGGGUUUAAAGGGUGCGUAGGCGGUUGGCGAAGUUAGAGGUGAAAUCCCGAGGCUCAACGGCGGAAUUGCCUCUGAUCCUGUUCGGCUAGAGUGUAGUUGCGGUAGGCGGAAUGUUUGGUGUAGCGG